rnacentral:rRNA from 1 species
AACGAACGCUGGCGGCGUGCUUAACACAUGCAAGUCGAACGAGAAAGCGGGCUUCGGCCCGUGAGUAAAGUGGCAGACGGGUGAGUAACACGUGGGUAACCUACCCAGAAGUGGGGAAUAACUCUUCGAAAGGAGGGCUAAUACCGCAUGACAUCACGGAGUCUCUGGACUCUGUGAUCAAAACAGGCCUCUAUUUUAUGCUUGUGCUUCUGGAGGGACCCGCGCCCCAUUAGCUUGUUGGUGAGGUAACGGCUCACCAAGGCUCCGAUGGGUAGCCGGCCUGAGAGGGCGAUCGGCCACACUGGAACUUAGACACGGUCCAGACUCCUACGGGAGGCAGCAGUGAGGAAUAUUGCGCAAUGGGCGAAAGCCUGACGCAGCGACGCCGCGUGGAGGAUGAAGGCCUUCGGGUUGUAAACUCCUGUCAGGGGGGACGAAUGUCAGCAGGACGAAUAAUCUUGUUGGUUGACGGUACCUCCAAAGGAAGCCCCGGCUAACUCCGUGCCAGCAGCCGCGGUAAUACGGAGGGGGCCAGCGUUGUUCGGAUUUAUUGGGCGUAAAGGGCGCGUAGGCGGCUUUGCUAGUCGAAGGUGAAAUCCCUCAGCUCAACUGAGGAACUGCCUCCGAUACUGCAGGGCUUGAGUUCCGGAGAGGGUAGCGGAAUUCCCAGUGUAGCGGUGAAAUGCGUAGAUACUGGGAGGAACACCGGUGGCGAAGGCGGCUACCUGGACGGAUACUGACGCUGAGGCGCGAAAGCGUGGGGAGCAAACAGGAUUAGAUACCCUGGUAGUCCACGCUGUAAACGAUGGGCACUUGGUGUUGCGGG